AAGGAGAGACAAAGCAUGCCAUGAGUAACUUGAGGUGAUGGUGGAGGUGGCUACUACCCUGGAAGGGUGGCAGUGAGGAAGGAAGAUUUACCCUGUCAGGUCAAAAGGCAGGAGUAUGAAAAGGAAGGUGUGAGAGGGCACAAGAGAUCCCCCACAGCAGAGCCAGAGCACCUCCCCACUGCAUUCUUGAAAGCCCUUUGUGGCUGCUUCCUUUACUGGUAAGGGCCCUUCAGAGAUCUAAGUAUGGGUCACAAAGGAACAGACAGGAAGUUGUUUCUCAUCUUCCAGAUGGGGAAACUAAGCUUGUCUAGAAGUUCCUUUCUGCUGUGAGCAUACCACAUGCUCAGCAAUGAGUGCCGCCUUGCCACACUCACCCCAUCCUGGUCUCCACACCCUUCUUUUCCAAGUAUGCUAAGCAUCUCCUGAACCACUCAGGAUUCAAGAGCAGAAACCUCGGGUCUGGGUGGCCUACCUUGGACAAGUCCCUACUCAGUGGAAAUCAAUGUGAUCCUACCUUGAAAAAAAAUGAAGAGGUGGUGGUGGUAGAGGGAGAGAAAUUGAUAUUCUUCUCAUUUUAAAGGUCCUUGUUCCCCUUGAAACUAUUCAAGUUAUAUUCGCACUUUCAUUUGACUCCCCUACUCCAUGGCUUCAAAUUCCAUGGGCUCUUCACUAUCACAGUAAUCCAAGCUAAUUGACUUAGGAGUCAGUUAUGGGAGGUUUCUAGUGUGCACUCAGCUUACUGCCUCCCUCUAAUUCCCAACAGAGCACAAGACCCAGGCAGAAAAACUAAUGACCAUCCUCCUCUCUCCCAGGGUACCCCUGUGACAGGCACAGCGUCCCACUCAGCACAGUCAGCCAGGAUCUGUUGAAUGUCCUGCUCUCAGGAGGCUCCCCUGCUGGCACGCUGGCUCUAGGGUGGCAAGGACCUUAUUUGGUUUGGUUCCCCAACAUAUCGAUCCCCAGUGCCAAGCACCAUGCCUGCAUGACAGCUUCUCAGUGACAAUAGUUGUUAAAACAGCUUCAGAACAACUCACCGAAGGAGGUUGAUUCCUUGGAGCAUACCGAGAAACAAGUUUUAUGGAAGAAAUUCCUCUAAAAAUGACUCAUGAAGAAACAGUAGGGGUGAAGGCUCCUAAAGAUAUAUGAGAUUACAGUGGGAUUCACUUCAGCACUGGUUACAGCAGCUAAGAAUGGGAAACAAUGGGACUGGUGAAAUUAAUGAAGGUCAGUGGUUCUACUGAAAUGCUCUGCAAUGGUUUAAACAACGCAGAUGGACUUGCACUGGCACAGAAGGGGGUCUGAUAUACUGUCAAGUGAAAAGGGUGAGUUCUAUUGGAUGCCACUUUUUGCAAAAACAACUAAAAAUCUGAGUGUGAAUAGCUGAUAUACUUUAGACCAGAAGGCUAAACAUCACUCAACAAUGGUUAACUCUCGAAAGGGGGAUGACAGAAGCCUUCAUUUUCUACUUUACUCACUUUUGCAUUGCUUGAAAUUUUUGUAAUUGUGUAUGCUUUUUGUAAAGUAUGUGAGAUGAGUCUCAAUGGCUAUGCUUCCUGUAGGAAGGGCGUGGGAGGAGGGUGACCUGGGGUGGAGCACUCAGGUGUUCAGAUGGUUCAGCCCUUCUGGCUUUUCAGAUCUUUCACAUUUCUGCCUCCAGCUACUCUUAAGUGCAAAGUCAUGCUUUCCAAACUUAAUGAAGAAAAGAAUUGCAACACACAAAUCCAGGCCUGCUUUUGUGAGUGAGGAUGGAGGGAGAAAGAUUUUUCUAAUCGAAGCCUAACAACCAGCCCUGAGGUCCUGAUGAUUCAUCUUUCUUCAGCAAAUCCUUCCACCUGCCCUGAGGAAGCAGGAGCCAGGGCUUGCUGCAGAGCCUUCCAGCAAGUGUCUCCCACUUUGCUGAGGAAUGUGGCUUUGUCCCGGGCCCUAGAAGCCACCAGGAGAUCUCCUUGGAUCUGGCUGCAUUCCCUACUGGAAUCCUGAGCGGCACCAUUUCCCACCAGAAGCGGGAAUGCUGUCCUGGGAGGGCGGCUCCUUUCCUCACUCCCUCCCCAACCCAUCCUCUUGUAACCAGUUCAACUGACCCCAUUAUCAACAGAACGAUUAAGAAUUGCCUUUCCAAAAAUCUGCAAAGUCAUGUAGCUAGAGCAGGCCCAAAAGAAGAAAUCUUAACCUGCAAUGACCUCGGGACCAAAGAUCCUCCUUCCCACAGAAUCCAAGGACUGGGACACAAUUGGAACCUGAAAGUCAGACUUUUAUCAGAAGCGAGGGGUCUGUCCUUCAGGAAGAUCCGAUGUUAAAAUUCCUUCCCAUCCUCAUCAAAAAUGUUUAGAACCCUGUCAUCAUGUUUAGAACUUUACCAUCAAUGCUUGAAGCCCACCAAUGAAAACCUGUCCCACCAGCGUUUCCACGUGCCAGGCUGUUCUCCCUAACUUCUUAAAUUUCACCCCAGAUCCUCCAUUGGCAAGAGAGAUCCGAGGGCACAUGCCCCACCCCCGUCCUCUCUGCAGAUGGAUCUUGCAGAAUAAAGCUGAUCUCUUUUCCCAAAA